CCAAUAGCGUAUAUUAAAGUUGUUGCAGUUAAAAAGCUCGUAGUUGAAUUUCGGGAUUGACACAUCGGUCGUGCCUUAAGGGGUAUGAACUGGUGUAGUCAAUUUCUCACCUUCUGGAGAACCGCGAUGCCCUUAAUUGGGUGCCGCGGGGAACCAGGACCUUUACUUUGAAAAAAUUAGAGUGUUUAAAGCAGGCAUUUUGCUUGAAUACAUUAGCAUGGAAUAAUAAAAUAGGACGGCAUGAUUCUAUUUUGUUGGUUUCUAGGAUCACCGUAAUGAUUAAUAGGGAUAGUUGGGGGCAUUAGUAUUCAAUUGUCAGAGGUGAAAUUCUUGGAUUUAUUGAAGACUAACUACUGCGAAAGCAUUUGCCAAGGAUGUUUUCAUUAAUCAAGAACGAAAGUUAGGGGAUCGAAGACGAUCAGAUACCGUCGUAGUCUUAACCAUAAACUAUGCCGACUAGGAAUCAGACGAUGUUAAUUUUUUAAUGACUCGUUUGGCACCUUACG
rnacentral:rRNA from 1 species